rnacentral:rRNA from 1 species
AUUGAACGCUGGCGGCAGGCCUAACACAUGCAAGUCGAGCGGCAGCGGAAAGUAGCUUGCUACUUUGCCGGCGAGCGGCGGACGGGUGAGUAAUGUCUGGGAAACUGCCUGAUGGAGGGGGAUAACUACUGGAAACGGUAGCUAAUACCGCAUAACGUCGCAAGACCAAAGAUGGGGACCUUCGGGCCUCUUGCCAUCAGAUGUGCCCAGAUGGGAUUAGCUAGUAGGUGGCGUAACGGCUCACCUAGGCGACGAUCCCUAGCUGGUCUGAGAGGAUGACCAGCCACACUGGAACUGAGACACGGUCCAGACUCCUACGGGAGGCAGCAGUGGGGAAUAUUGCACAAUGGGCGCAAGCCUGAUGCAGCCAUGCCGCGUGUAUGAAGAAGGCCUUCGGGUUGUAAAGUACUUUCAGCGGGGAGGAAGGUGUUGAGGUUAAUAACCUCAGCAAUUGACGUUACCCGCAGAAGAAGCACCGGCUAACUCCGUGCCAGCCGCCGCCGUAAUAC